CAGAUCAGGGCCACCUCUGAUGUGGCAAAUUUGAGGAUGCAGUUAAAGUCUUUUGACCAGUUCACAGCAAGAAGAGGACUGCCAGCAUCUGGGAGAUGAAAACAGCCGACAUUCAAUACUUGGAAGCAUCAUGAGGACAAUGAAAAGACUCCCUGUGAAUAAGUGCUUGUUGCAGACAUUCUUUUAUUGAGAACACAAAUUCCACAAAAUUUAUAAGGAAAAAUGGAGUAUGAAUAAAUGCCUCAAAAUAAUUGCUUUAAAAACUCACUUAAAUAUUUGAAUGGGUGAAUUAAACUUGAAUAGACUUUCUGUAUGAUGAAAAGAAAGGGCAUGAU
rnacentral:lncRNA from 1 species